UCUCCCUUCUCCCUCACGCACUGCCCUCUCCGGCGAUUCCUCUCCCGGCGACGUCGAGCCACCGCACAGUGGGCAUUCCGAUCGCGUUGACGCAUCUCAGCCCAACGCCGGCCGAGUCUCCUUUCUUCCUCCUUCUCCCUCUCGAUGCAUGGAGUGUUUCUCCUCUUCCUCUCUCGCCCGCGGACGACUCGACGCCGACGGCUUCCCCAGCGAUCUCGGCUUCGUCGCGUCACCAGGGGGAAAGCGUCACCCGAUCUUGAUGGCUCCGACCAUCUCCGACGCAGCGAUCUCCUCUUUGGCUGUGCUGGCACACGAGGCAAUGACUCGGCGGAGCUAGGGCAUGGCGGGGAGAGGUUGAUUCGUGUCUUUUCCAGCCGAUCGAGCUUCUUUUGCUCUCCUCUUCGAUCUACUUGCUGGGGGUGAACUGGAUCAUCAUCAGUGGAAGUGGAUCGCACGACACCAGCUGUAGGGAUUGAUUGAGGAGGAUGCUUCGGAUAAACCUAGUGAUGGAUCUUCCUUGAGUAGAACUUCAUCUCCUUCAUUCUUGCGGCUGCUAGGGGCUUGGGGUGAAGAGGUGGAGAGCUAUGAAGCUUCUCAGCAGGGAGUUGUAGGGUUGCUGAGCUACUGGAGUUGCUGCCAUGGUUCAAGG